UACGUAGGUGGCGAGCGUUGUCCGGAUUUACUGGGCGUAAAGAGCGCGCAGGCGGUCGUGCAAGUCGCGUGUGAAAGCCCCCGGCUUAACUGGGGAGGGUCACGCGAUACUGUUCGACUCGAAGGCAGGAGAGGGAAGUGGAAUUCCCGGUGUAGUGGUGAAAUGCGUAGAUAUCGGGAGGAACACCAGUGGCGAAGGCGACUUCCUGGCCUGUUCUUGACGCUGAGGCGCGAAAGCUAGGGGAGCAAACGGG
rnacentral:rRNA from 1 species